AUCGUGUGUAUGAGAACUCAGUUCUUAUAAUGGGAACCUGGGCCAAUUAACAUCACCCUCAACAUGGCGCUUCAUCUGAUGAAAGCCAUUUCACGCCCAGGAGAAGAGUAAAAGAAACACAAGAACAGCUGCAGCAGUCAGAGCUCACCUUCGGACACCAGAUGGCUCUUGGUGAGAAGGUGACUCAGGACAACUGGAGACUUUAGCCGAUCCAGAAGCUGGUGUCACUCCCAUGAGUCACAACAACAAGCACUCUACCAAAAAUGCCAAGAAGGACCAGGAAAAUGCUGGGGCCAUUUUCAGUUGCUCUUUUGCAGAUCCAGAUUUUGCUCCGGUGAUUGACAACAAAACUGACUCUACCACAAGGACCAAGAAGGACAAGGCCAUUAUGUAUGCAAGAGGGCCUGGUCCUUUCCUAGGUUUGCCUUGCAAGCUGUACCCCAUGGAUCACCCUUCAUCACCAGUCAUGGGCUAUGGGCUACCUCCAGCUCCUCCAAGUACUCAAUUUGGUAAGAUGACCUGAACUGGAUGAGUGACUGAUAAAGCGUAUUCAUCUUCUUCGUGAAAGACUUUGUGGGAAUGACGUAGAGAUGGUUGUGAGGGCUUGGCAAUUCAACUGCAAACCUGCCUGAGGACAGUGUAAUAUAAAUCCAAGGUUUCUCAGGACAUAGGUACAAUGGGCUUUGCCAUUUCCCUGAAAUGAGGUGAAGUAUAGGUUUCUCUUGUCAAAAAGAAAGAGGAUUUUUACACAAUGGUAGACGUAUCAGCAGUACUGGUGUGUAUUUUACAGACACAAUGUUGUGGGUUCUGUGACAGAUGAGAUGCACCCCUAACUUUAGGUGCCUCAGGUGCCCUGUGUGAAAUGGGGCACAUGCAUUAUAUGACACAGAACUUGUUGUCACCAUAAUGGAAGCAGCAGGGAAGGAAUGGGGGAAACUCGAAUCACACAGGAAUAGAAAGUAAGUUGUGGGUGGCAAGCAGAGUUUGAG
rnacentral:lncRNA from 1 species